UCUCCUGGAAACGGGUGGUAAUGCCGGAUGUUCCACAUGAGCGCAUGCGAGUGUGGGAAAGGCUUUUUGCGGCAUGGGAUGGGGUCGCGUCCUAUCAGCUUGUUGGUGGGGUAACGGCCUACCAAGGCGUUGACGGGUAGCCGGCCUGAGAGGGCGACCGGCCACAUUGGGACUGAGAUACGGCCCAGACUCCUACGGGAGGCAGCAGUGGGGAAUAUUGCACAAUGGGCGCAAGCCUGAUGCAGCGACGCCGCGUGCGGGAUGGAGGCCUUCGGGUUGUAAACCGCUUUUGUUCAAGGGCAAGGCACGGUUUUUGGCCGUGUUGAGUGGAUUGUUCGAAUAAGCACCGGCUAACUACGUGCCAGCAGCCGCGGUAAUACGUAGGGUGCAAGCGUUAUCCGGAUUUAUUGGGCGUAAAGGGCUCGUAGGCGGUUCGUCGCGUCCGGUGUGAAAGUCCAUCGCUUAACGGUGGAUCCGCGCCGGGUACGGGCGGGCUUGAGUGCGGUAGGGGAGACUGGAAUUCCCGGUGUAACGGUGGAAUGUGUAGAUAUCGGAAAAGAACACCA
rnacentral:rRNA from 1 species